rnacentral:SRP_RNA from 10 species
GCCAGGCAUGGUGGCGUGUAUGUACCUGUAGUCCCAGCUACUUUGGAGGCUGAAGCAGGAGGAUCGCUUGAGUCCAGGAGUUCUGGGCUGUAGUGCAUUGCGCUGAUCGGGUGUCCACACUAAGUUUGGCAUCAAUGUGGUGACCUCCUGGGAGCAGGGAAUCACCAAAUUGCCUAAGAGGGGUGAACUAGCCCAGGUCAGAAAUGGAGCAGGUCAAAACUCCUGUGUUGCAGCCUGGUCAACAUGGUGAAACUCCGUCUCUACUAAAAACAUAAAUAUUAGCUGGGCGUGGUGGCAGGCACCUGUA